ensembl:snRNA U6 U6 spliceosomal RNA
GUGCUCACUUCAGCAGCGCUUCUACUAAAAUUGGAACAACACAGACAAGAUGAGCAUGGCCCCUGCACAACGAUGACAUGCAAAUCUGUGUGGAGUUCCAUAUGUUG